AUGGUACUCCUUCCAUCUGGAAAUACAUGUCAAAGAAAAUGAAUGUAUCUAAACGUAUUUUAGUUUUAGAUACAUUUAUUUAUAUUUAUUUUAACGACAAGUAUUUUCAGACGAAGAGAAUAUAUA
rfam:Hordeum vulgare subsp. vulgare, WGS project CAJW01000000 data, contig: morex_contig_44158